UACAGAGGGUGCGAGCGUUAAUCGGAGUUACUGGGCGUAAAGGGCGCGUAGGCGGUCAAUUAAGUUGGAUGUGAAAUCCCUGGGCUUAACCUAGGAACUGCAUACAAUACUGAAUGACUAGAAUACUGUAGAGGGUAGUGGAAUUUCCGGUGUAGCGGUGAAAUGCGUAGAGAUCCGGAAGAACACCGGUGGCGAAGGCGACUUUCUGGUCUGUAACUGACACUGAGGCGCGAAAGCGUGGGGAGCAAACAGG
rnacentral:rRNA from 1 species